CCUACGGGAGGCAGCAGUGGGGAAUAUUGGUCAAUGGGCGCAAGCCUGACCCAGCAACGCCGCGUGAAGGAAGAAGGCUUUCGGGUUGUUAACUUCUUUUGUUAGGGACGAAGCAGCUGACGGUCCCUGACGAAUAAGCCACGGCUAACUACGUGCCAGCGGCCGCGGUAAUACGGAGGUCGCAAGCGUUAGCCGGAUUUACUGGGUGUAAAGGGCGUGUAGGCGGGACUGCAAGUCAGAUGUGAAAAUCACGGGCUCAACCUAUGACCUGCAUUUGAAACUGUACUGCUUGAGAGUUGGAGCGGUAGGCGGAAUGCAUGGUGUAGCGGUGAAAUGCGUAGAGAUCAGGCAGAACACCGGUGGCGAAGGCGGCUUACCGGGCAACAACUGACGCUGAGGCACGAAAGCGUGGGGAGCAAACAGGAUUAGAUACCCGAGUAGUC
rnacentral:rRNA from 1 species